rnacentral:rRNA from 1 species
CACGUAGGGUGCGAGCGUUGUCCGGAAUCACUGGGCGUAAAGCGCGUGUAGGCGGGUCCGCAAGUCUGCUGUGAAAACUCCUGGCUUAACCGGGAGAGGUCGGUGGAAACUGCGAACCUGGAGGACGGUAGAGGCUGGUGGAAUUCCCGGUGUAGUGGUGAAAUGCGUAGAGAUCGGGAGGAACACCUGUGGCGAAGGCGGCCAGCUGGGCCGGACCUGACGCUGAGACGCGAAGGCGUGGGGAGCGAACGGG